UAGGGUAGCUAUACUGAAGAUGCUCCACCUGUUCCCAUUCCGAACACAGAAGUGAAAUUCUUCAAGGCCCAUGAUAGUGCCUUUUAGGUGCGAAAGUAGGUAGCUGCCUUAC
rnacentral:rRNA from 1 species